rnacentral:misc_RNA from 1 species
GGGGGGGCGGGUGGGGUUGGGGUGGGGUAAAUUCUACAAAUUCGAACUUAUAUAAACAGCAAAGACACAUUUUUUUCUUAUAACAUCAUCCAGUCAAAAAGAUGAUCGGCCCGUCAAUUAGCACCAUAUGUCCAAGUACGCUGCUAAAGAACAGAGACGCUACAUUGCAAAUUCAAAUGAAUUCUUUCCAACAUAUCCCUUUCUGUAAUAAUCAUACAUUUCAGCAAUGCUAAUGAGAAGAUCAUAUCAUGUAUAGAAAUUACAAAUCAACUCAGGGAAGCAUUAAACCAGCCAUUUGGAUAAAAAGAAGAAAAACAACAGUUGCGUAAGAACCAGAACUAAACCAAAUUCAAUGUUUGGCAAUCUACCUCUAAUCUGGAUCCAUUCCUACAACGGAAGGAAACAAAGUUUCUUUUGUUGUUGUUUUUCUUAUUAAGCCCUUGCUGAUGUUCAUAAACUUUGAAAAUAAAAGGCACUGAUAAAUUCAUAACUAUUUCCCAUCACUUCCUUUGCUUUUACUUUGCUUUCUCUCCAGUUUGAAAGAAAAUCACAGGUUUAUAAGUUUUCCCCAUUUCCCUCCACUUCUCUCCUUUUCCCUUCUCAUUUCAAAAACCAAAGGAAUUUAAUUUAAUUUAACCCCACUACUCCAAAACAUACACAAAUUUAUUAUUGCAAAUCAACUAACAGGGUACAUUUUUCAAAAUCCAAACGAAACUAUUGAAAGAAGAAGGGGAAACAAACUGCUUCUUGUCAGAUAUAAUUGCUACUUCAUAAACAAACUUUUAAUAAUAAGACUUCCAGCAUAUCCAAUCAUGAUAGUUCAUUGCCAUUUCAGAAAGAUUAAGUGAAUCAAUAGGCAACCC